rnacentral:lncRNA from 1 species
GGGAGCCGAACUUCAUCCCCGACUUCGACCGUCGGUAAACUUCGUCCGGACUCCCACGGGGGCCGGACUCCGCCUCCAACUUCAACUGCGGACAAACUUCGCCCGGACUCCUGUGGGAGUCGAACUUCGCCCUCGCUUUGAUCGAAAGAAAACUCCAUUCGGACUCUUACGGGAGCCGGAACCUCAUCCCCAACUUCGACCGCUGGUAUGUUUCGUCCGGUAGCC